rnacentral:rRNA from 1 species
CCAGACUCCUACGGGAGGCAGCAGUGAGGAAUAUUGGUCAAUGGGCGCGAGCCUGAACCAGCCAAGUCGCGUGAGGGAUGAAGGAUCUAUGGUUCGUAAACCUCUUUUAUAAGGGAAUAAAGUGCGGGACGCGUCCCGCUUCGCAUGUACCUUAUGAAUAAGGAUCGGCUAACUCCGUGCCAGCAGCCGCGGUAAUACGGAGGAUCCGAGCGUUAUCCGGAUUUAUUGGGUUUAAAGGGUGCGUAGGCGGCCUUUUAAGUCAGGGGUGAAAGUCUGUGGCUCAACCAUAGAAUUGCCGUUGAAACUGGGGGGCUUGAGUAUUUUGGAGGCAGGCGGAAGGCGUGGUGUAGCGGUGAAAUGCAUAGAUACCACGCGGACCCCCGAUGGCGAAGGCGGCC